rnacentral:rRNA from 1 species
GGCUAAAUACUCCUGACUGACCGAUAGUGAACCAGUACCGUGAGGGAAAGGCGAAAAGAACCCCGGCGAGGGGAGUGAAAAAGAACCUGAAACCGUGUACGUACAAGCAGUGGGAGCCCCACCACCAAAGCAUUCUCUGGUGUUGAAGGCCCUGCAAAGCAGCAUCGCGGUGGCGGAGCGUCGUUUGCGACGCCCAACACACAAAACAAGCGGUGAAUGCUUUGGGGUGGGGUGACUGCGUACCUUUUGUAUAAUGGGUCAGCGACUUAUAUUCUGUAGCAAGGUUAACCGAAUAGGGGAGCCGGAGGGAAACCGAGUCUUAAUUGGGCGUUAAGUUGCAGGGUAUAGACCCGAAACCCGGUGAUCUAGCCAUGGGCAGGUUGAAGGUUGGGUAACACUAACUGGAGGACCGAACCGACUAAUGUUGAAAAAUUAGCGGAUGACCUGUGGCUGGGGGUGAAAGGCCAAUCAAACCGGGAGAUAGCUGGUUCUCCCCGAAAGCUAUUUAGGUAGCGCCUCGUGAAUUCAUCUCCGGGGGUAGAGCACUGUUUCGGCUAGGGGGCCAUCCCGGCUUACCAACCCGAUGCAAACUGCGAAUACCGGAGAAUGUUAUCACGGGAGACACACGGCGGGUGCUAACGUCCGUCGUGAAGAGGGAAACAACCCAGACCGCCAGCUAAGGUCCCAAAGUCAUGGUUAAGUGGGAAACGAUGUGGGAAGGCCCAGACAGCCAGGAUGUUGGCUUAGAAGCAGCCAUCAUUUAAAGAAAGCGUAAUAGCUCACUGGUCGAGUCGGCCUGCGCGGAAGAUGUAACGGGGCUAAACCAU